UAUUGGUCAAUGGGCGGGAGCCUGAACCAGCCAAGUCGCGUGAGGGAAGACGGUCCUAUGGAUUGUAAACCUCUUUAGGCGGGGAGCAAUGCCGGGCACGCGUGCCCGGAGGGAGAGUACCCGCAGAAUAAGCCUCGGCUAACUCCGUGCCAGCAGCCGCGGUAAUACGGAGGAUGCGAGCGUUAUCCGGCUUUUUUGGGUUCAAAGGGUGCGUAGGCGGAUUUUUAAGUCAGCGGUAAAAUGUCCGGGCUCAACCCGGGCCGGCCGUUGAAACUGGGGAUCUUGAGUGGGCGAGAAGUAUGCGGAAUGCGUGGUGUAGCGGUGAAAUGCAUAGAUAUCACGCAGAACUCCGAUUGCGAAGGCAGCAUACCGGCGCCCGACUGACGCUGAGGCACGAAAGCGUGGGGAUCGAACAGG
rnacentral:rRNA from 1 species